UACGUAGGGUGCGAGCGUUAAUCGGAAUUACUGGGCGUAAAGCGUGCGCAGGCGGUUCGCUGUGUCCGAUGUGAAAGCCCCGGGCUUAACCUGGGAAUGGCAUUGGAAACUGGCGGGCUUGAGUGCGGCAGAGGGGGGUGGAAUUCCGCGUGUAGCAGUGAAAUGCGUAGAGAUGCGGAGGAACACCGAUGGCGAAGGCAGCCCCCUGGGCCAACACUGACGCUCAGGCACGAAAGCGUGGGGAGCAAACAGG
rnacentral:rRNA from 1 species